rnacentral:rRNA from 1 species
UACGUAGGGGGCGAGCGUUGUUCGGAAUUACUGGGCGUAAAGCGCGCGCAGGCGGUCCUUCAAGUCAGAGGUGAAAGCCCAGAGCUCAACUCUGGAACGGCCUUUGAGACUAGAGGACUUGGGUACGGGAGAGGUGAGUGGAAUUCCGAGUGUAGAGGUGAAAUUCGUAGAUAUUCGGAAGAACACCAGUGGCGAAGGCGGCUCACUGGCCCGUUACCGACGCUCAGGCGCGACAGCGUGGGGAGCAAACAGG